AGCGAACGCUGGCGGCAGGCUUAACACAUGCAAGUCGAGCGCCCCGCAAGGGGAGCGGCAGACGGGUGAGUGACACGUGGGAACGUGCCUUUUGGUUCGGAACAACUGAGGGAAACUUCAGCUAAUACCGGAUAAGCCCUUACGGGGAAAGAUUUAUCGCCAAAAGAUCGGCCCGCGUCUGAUUAGCUAGUUGGUGAGGUAAUGGCUCACCAAGGCUACGAUCAGUAGCUGUCUGAGAGGAUGAUCAGCCACAUUGGGACUGAGACACGGCCCAAACUCCUACGGGAGGCAGCAGUGGGAAUAUUGGACAAUGGGGAAACCCUGAUCCAGCCAUGCCGCGUGAGUGAUGAAGGCCCUAGGGUUGUAAAGCUCUUUCAGCGGGGAAGAUAAU
rnacentral:rRNA from 1 species